rnacentral:lncRNA from 1 species
AAUAAGGUCAUGCUUCAGAGAAGUGUCUGAAGUCCUGCAUGCUAUUUUACUAGCAAUACCGUUUCGAAGAAUAAGGUCAUGCUUCAGAGAAAUGUCUGCUUUUCCACAAUCAAAGAAGUAGAAAGAAAAUGCCUUUUGCUGGGAUUUCUUGUUCAGUUAAAACUUGUGCAGGAAUUCCAUCCAUUAGCACCGAGAGAAAGUGGCAGAAGGUGUUAAGAAAAAUGGCUGGCCGGGCGCGGUGGCUCACGCCUGUAAUCCCAGCACUCUGGGAGGCCGAGGCAGGUGGAUCAUGAGGUCAGGAGAUCGAGACCAUCCUGGCUAACAAGGUGAAACCCUGU